UAUGUACUCCCUCCGUCCGGUAAUACUUGUCCUAAAAAUAUAUACUCCCUCCGUUUCUAAAAUUAAAAUAAGUAUAGAUACAUCCAUUUCUAGGACAAGUAUUUCCGUACGGAGGGAGCAUAUA
rfam:Hordeum vulgare subsp. vulgare, WGS project CAJW01000000 data, contig: morex_contig_2597663